AACCUGGUUGAUCCUGCCAGUAGCAUAUGCUUACCUUCGAGAUUAAGCCAUGCAUGUCUAAGUAUAAGUUAUAAAGGGCGAAACUGCGAAUGGCUCAUUAAAACAGUUAUAGUUUAUUUGAUGAUGUUUUUAUAUGGAUAACCGUUGGGAAACCAGAGCUAAUACAUGCUUAAAGGCCUCCGGGCUGUAUUUAUUAGUUUUCACCAAUGCCGCAAGGUUUUGAGAGGAGUCAUAAUAACUGAUCGGAUCGCACUUGUGUGCGAUAAAUCUUUCAAGUUUCUGCCCUAUCAGCUUUCGAUGGUAGUGUAUUGGACUACCAUGGCUAUCACGGGUAACGGAGAAUUAGGGUUCGAUUCCGGAGAGGGAGCCUGAGAAACGGCUACCACAUCUAUGGUAGGCAGCAGGCGCGUAAAUUACCCAAUCUUGACUCAGGGAGGUAGUUAGGAGGAAUGUGAAGUCGGCCUCACGGCUGAGUUUCAAAUGGAUUGAACAUAGACCGUUCUUUGAAAUCAAUUGGAGGGCAAGUCUGGUGCCAGCAGCCGCGGUAAUUCCAGCUCCAAUAGUGUAUCUUAACGUUGUUGCAGUUAAAAAGCUCGUAGUUGAAUUUCUGGCGUUCCCGCAGCCUCUUAUGAGUGCUACACGGGGGCGUCAUCCGCUUGGGAAGGCGUUCAGUGGGAAACCACGAGCGUUGGAACAGGCAUUUUACUUUGAAGAAAUUAGAGUGUUCCAGGCAGGCUUUGCUUGAAUAUAUCAGCAUGGAAUAAUGGAAUAGGAUUCGUCCUCUUUAUUGGUGAUUGGACGUUUAAUGAUUAACAGGGACAGUUGGGGGCAUUCGUAUUCGUUUGUCAGAGGUGAAAUUCUUGGAUUAGACGAAGACGAACUAAUGCGAAAGCAUUUGCCAAGGAUGUUUUCAUUAAUCAAGAACGAAAGUUAGGGGAUCAAAGACGAUUAGAUACCGUCGUAGUCCUAACUAUAAACUAUACCAACUAGGGAUUGGCAGGGGAUUUCCUCUGUCAGCACCUAAAGAGAAAUCAAAGUCUUUGGGUUCUGGGGGGAGUAUGGUCGCAAGGCUGAAACUUAAAGGAAUUGACGGAAGGGCACCACCAGGAGUGGAGCCUGCGGCUCAAUUUGAUUCAACACGGGGAAACUUACCAGGGCCAGACCUUUGUAGGAUUGACAGACUGAUAGCUCUUUCUUGAUUAGAGGGAUGGUGGUGCAUGGCCGUUCUUAGUUGGUGGAGUGAUUUGUCAGGUUAAUUCCCUUAACGAACGAGACCUUAACCUACUAAACUAGACGCGCUCUAUUCUUUAGGCGUUGCUCUUCUUAGAGGGACUAUGUGCAAAACACAUGGAAGUUUGAGGCAAUAACAGGUCCGUGAUGCCCUAAGAUGUCCUGGGCCGCACGCGCGCUACACUGACGCACGCAGCAAGUUCAUCCUAACCCGAAAGGGGAUGGGUAAUCUUCACAAAAUGCGUCGUGCUAGGGAUUGAUCUUUGCAAUUCUGGAUCAUGAACGAGGAAUUCCUAGUAAUGUUGUGUCAUCAACGCGACAUGAUUAAGUCACUGCUCUUUGUACACACCGCCCGUCGCUCCUACCGAUUGAGUGGUCCGGUGAACUUUUUGGACUUGGCGCCUAGCGUCCGGGGAAGUUAAGCAAAUCUUAUCACUUAGAGGAAGGAGAAGUCGUAACAAGGUUUCCGUAGGUGAACCUGCAGAAGGAUCA
rnacentral:rRNA from 1 species